UACGUAGGGUGCAAGCGUUGUCCGGAAUUAUUGGGCGUAAAGAGCUCGUAGGCGGUUCGUCACGUCGGCUGUGAAAUCCCGAGGCUCAACCUCGGGUCUGCAGUCGAUACGGGCGGACUGGAGUACUGCAGGGGAGACUGGAAUUCCUGGUGUAGCGGUGAAAUUCGUAGAUAUUGGGAAGAACACCGGUGGCGAAGGCGGCGACCUGGUCCGAUACUGACGCUGAGGCGCGAAAGCGUGGGGAGCAAACAGG
rnacentral:rRNA from 1 species